rnacentral:piRNA from 1 species
CGUGUCUUCCAGAAGUGACUUUGC